rnacentral:lncRNA from 1 species
GGGGAGGAGAGACUCACCUUAGAGGUGGAAACGCCGCAUCCUGGUUCACUCCGCCGUAAUCGGAGUUUGGACCGGCUGAAUGGGGGGCUGAAGCGGCGCGGCUCAUGAAUGAGUAGUUAGAUUUCUAGGUUUUUUUUUUCUCUUUUUUUUUUCUUUUCUGUUUAGAGUAAUAGGGUUAACGUGGUUUAAGUGGGGAGUCGAGAAACACCGCCGUAUUGCCUGAUUCAGUGGCUCUUAAACAGUGCCGUUUUAGGCUGCAACCCGAUGACCCGACCCAGACGUGGUUAGAUCUGCG